rnacentral:rRNA from 1 species
UACGAAGGGGACUAGCGUUGUUCGGAAUUACUGGGCGUAAAGCGCACGUAGGCGGAUUUGUAAGUCAGGGGUGAAAUCCCGGGGCUCAACCUCGGAACUGCCUUUGAUACUGCAAAUCUCGAGUCCGAUAGAGGUGGGUGGAAUUCCUAGUGUAGAGGUGAAAUUCGUAGAUAUUAGGAAGAACACCGGUGGCUAAGGCGGCCCACUGGAUCGGUACUGACGCUGAGGUGCGAAAGCGUGGGGAGCAAACAGG